rnacentral:rRNA from 1 species
AUGUCACGGGUGCCUCUCGCAAAACAUGUGCAAGCUUGUGCGGUUGCAAAAUUCUUGACAAGUGUGUGCGUCCUUGUGAUCGCUUCAAUCUUUACCCGGAAGCAGCUAAACUGUAAACAUAUUCUUUCCAUUCUUUCAUUUUCCUCUCAAGCACAAAGAAUUAUAUUUAAACACACGAGGUUUGUUUUCCCAGACGAAGCAAAAGUCAUUGAGUAUUGCAAGUUGGGAUGCAUGUCCUUUGUCUGCAACACCACAAACACUUUCAUUGUCGGUGAACAAGAGAAAGAUGUCAUAGAGAAUUGCACAACUGAAUGCGAUCGUGUCUGUACCAAGGAUGUUGAAUUUGCCGAAGCUAUUGCAUAA